GCAGACUCCUGCAGCUGGUCUCGCUCCUGUGGGGGAGUUGAGGCCUGGCCCGGCCUACGGGGCCUGUUUUUUCUGCCGAUCUGGGGUCCAGUAGAGUGGCCGUAGGCUUUGGGAGAUUGUGUUAUGUCAAGGAAAGUAUUAAGCUCUGUUUGGUUGAGAAACUUGGUAUGAUGCACUGCAAAUAGUUACUGACAACACAAAGAUCCAACCAGACUGUAAGGAAAAACAUAAAAAACCCAACAGACUCGAAGAUAACAUGAGAGUGUUUUAUGUCCCAGACAACACAAAAUUAUAUGCCAUUUAUAGAUUAAAAAAAAAAAAAAUAAAAAAUGUCCUUUAAAGCAGGGUCAAUCUCUAGCCUGCUGUGAGUUAAAUUAAAUCACUGUCUCUGGUUAACUCAAUAAUUAUCAGGACUCAGUUCACAAACCUUGACAACACAUGCUGUUGCAUCAGUUAUGGUAACAGCUUAUGAAGCCAAGACCCCCUAGAAAAUGCGAGAAUUGUAUGGAACAACUUGUUGACACUUUACUCCAAGCGUUCAGCAUUCAGAAUGAAAGUACUUCCUGAGUGGAGUCCCUCAAGGGUUGGUAGAGGGACCAAAUCUAUUUAAUAUCUUCAUCAGUUACAUAGACAGUAGGAUUGAGUACAGCCACAGCAAGUUAGCACGUGAUACUUGAUACGCUUGAAAGAUGGACCCACAAGAACAUAGUGAAGUUCAACAAGUCCAAGUACGAGGCCUUGCAGCUGCGACAGGAUAAUCUUCAACAUUAAUAUAGUCUGGGAGAUGAAGAGAUUGAGAGCAGCCCUUUGGAGAAGGGAUGAAAAAUUGGACGUGAGGCAACAAUGUGCACUCACAGCCCUGGGCUGCAUCAAAAGAAAUGUGUCCAGUAGGUCAAGGGAGAUAGUUGUCCCUCUCUACUUUGCUUUCAUGAGACCCAACUUGGAGUGCUGCAUCCAGCUCUGAGGUCCUCGGAACAAGAAAGACAUGGACCUGUCAGUGCAGAUCCAGAGGAGGGCUGCAAAAAUGAUCAAAGGGCUGGAACACUUUGCCUGUUAGGGAAUAUUGAGAGAAUUGGAGUUGUUUGGUGUAGAGAAGAGAGGCUCUGGGGAGACUUAUAGCGCCUUCCAGUACCUAAAGGAGGUUUAUAAGAUAGAUGGAGAAAGAGUUUUGACCAAAGUUGACGGGACAAGUGAUGGGAGAAGGGUUUUUGCUACAAGACUGAGUUCUUAAAACAAACAAAAAAUAAAGGUAAUGCAAACCUAUUAACUGUCAUGAGAACUCCUUCCAUAAAAAAAAGAGGGACUUUACGACUCUUUGUGAUCUUAGGAAACUCAUUUGAAUUCUGUGGAUGAAAUCUUGGCCUUACUCAUUGAGGUCAAAUUACUGUUGAGUUUAGGAUUCUUUUUCAGCAACCAACUUCAUCUGCAUGCUGGAGAUAAAAUUAAUUCUGCACAUUAUUAAUUUAUUCAAUUUACAAAAGCCAGUAGUAACUGUUCACACCAGGUAUAGCAUGCAAUUGCAAAAAUUAACAUUGCAAAUUAUGUGUCAGUGUCCUGCGUUUUCUCCUGCUUCCCCUCUGGGGUUUAGCUGCCUGUGCUAAAGGCCUGAUCUGAUCUGGUGCAGCUGUGGGACCAAGAGUGGGUGUGCUGGGAAAACAGCUUGGAGAGAAAAAGCUGUGAGACUCCUCUUUGGCAUCCUGUUCCUCUUUGCACAAGAGAUGCUUUUAAACCAAGAUGUUUAACCUUGUGUUUGCCAGAGUUAUAUUACAGCUUUGCCUGUACCUGUGGUCACCUGUGUGUCUUGCUGUUCCUGACCUGUGGACUUGAUUUUCCAGCAUAAUCUUGGACCUGCCCUGUGGCUGUAAGCUAGCCUGGUGAUCUGAGCUGUCAGUUGAACCCAAUCACUGGAACUGCUCUUUUUCCUUGAGUACCAUGGGACUACGUCCUUUAUCUUUGAGGGUGCCCUGCUGUCUCUCAGCUACUGGCCUGCCUUCUCUUCUGGAGCAGCUGAUUCCUGCUGCCUCCUGACUCUACAUGCAAAAGAGUCAUAGCACAUAUAAUGUGCUGCUCAUCUUCCCCUCUGAAAAUAAUCGCAUAGUCAUCAUGUGUGGUCCUAAAUGAAAGUCUGUGGUGGGGAAUAUAAUGGUAAUACCUUGGGGUUUUUUUCUAAAGUACUACCCAACAAGUUGAUACAAAAUCUGAGCAAGGAGGGAAUAAAUUCUCAAUUAUGUCUUUUUUUCUGCUUGAGAUAUAGAAUUUUAUUUCAUAGCCAAAAAAAAAAAAAAGUACUGAGGCUCCAUAGCAACUCUGUCUUUGCAUUUUCCAGGCUAUUGACUGGAUGAUGUAACCCUAAUGCUGAUAUUUUAGUGUGUUUUUGUUCAAAUACACUAAAGACAAAAGUUUAAACCAACUCCUAUACUCAAGGAGACAUGAAGUGAGUGAACAGUUGUGACUCUACCUUCCUCUUGAGUUUAGAAAGUGUUAGCUUCAUAACUACAGUGUACAAGAGGUACUUCCACUGAACUUCAAUAAGGUAAACCGUUACUUUUUUUUUAAAAAAGUGAUUGUCCAAACUAUCUUGCUGUACUGCGAUGCACCAAUUAAUUUUGUGAUUGUAAGGAAGCUUUUUUUGUGUAAUUUGCUUAGCCAAUGCAAUGUAGAAAGACUCUACGAGUGUUAAAGAGAAUUUAGCACUUUGAAAUAUUAGCCAAAUUUUCUAUCAAUAUGUUGUUUUAUAUCUGUGGAGAUGGAAACAUAAGGAAUUGUCCAGAUGGACUAGAACAGAAAGGACAAAGAGAAAAAAUGUUAUGAAUGCUUUCUAUGAAUUUUCAGAAACUUCUUCAUAUAGACUCCAUUUGCUGGGAAUUCUACAACCUUGUGAAAAAUGAAAAGGGCCAAAUGGCUCUUUUCAUGAUUGGUUACCCAUUUUAUACAUGCCUUUGUGUGGUUCAGUAGGGUUUAAUCCCUAUUGGUAGCUUUUAGUGGUUAUACUAAUAUACACUAGAUUUCAGCUGAGUUAUUUGUACUCUGAUAUCACACAUACAACAAAUUUAAGGUAUUUUGCAUGUAGCUACUGUUGCUUUCUCUUUUGACACC